GUAUUUCAUUGCGUUAAACGCGACAUACAUUCCAUUAGACUUUAUUUCGGUGUGUGUGUAAAGACGUAGAACCACAGCAGGGGGACGGGGCCCCCAGGCCAUAGAACUACAGAGGGUGCACAGGUGUGAGUGGAUGUGUAAACAGAGCAUGCACAUGCCCCCAUACAGGGGCCAGCAACAACCCUUGUUGACGGUUCGGUAAUGAUCCUUCCGCAGGUUCACCUACGGAAA
rnacentral:misc_RNA from 1 species